GACGAACGCUGGCGGCGUGCUUAACACAUGCAAGUCGAGCGGUAAGGCCCUGCUUUUGUGGGGUGCUCGUGUGGCGCACGCGUGAGUGUCACGUGUGUAACCUGCCCUUGACUUUGGGAUAACUUCUGUGAACUGGAGUUCUUAUCCCACAUGAGCUCCUGCUACAUGGUUUGUGUUGGAAAAUUUUGGCGGUUGGGGAUGCACUCGCGGUCUAUCAUCUUGUUGGUGGGGUAGUGGCGUAACAAGUCUUGGACGGGUAGCCGGACUGCGAGGGUGACCGGCCACAAUGGGACUGAGAUACGGCCCGGACUCCUACGGGAGGCAGCAGUGGAAAAUAUUGCAAAAUGGGCGGAAGCCUGAUGCAGCAACGCCGCGUGCGGGAUGACGGUCUGCAGGGUAUAAACCGCUUUCGCCUGUGACGAAGCGUGAGUGACGGUAAUGGGUCAAGAAGCACCGGCUAACUACGUG
rnacentral:rRNA from 1 species